GACAGAGGCCUCAAGCGUUAGGCGGAAUCACUGGGCUUAAAGCGUGUGUAGGCGGAUCGUUAAGUGUCUUGUGAAAUCCCACGGCUCACCCAUGGAACUGCUGGGCAUACUGGCGAUCUUGGGCCAACUAGGGGCAACUGGAACAAGCGGUGGAGCGGUGAAAUGCGUAGAUAUCGCUUGGAACGCCAAAGGUGAAAACAGGU
rnacentral:rRNA from 1 species